CCCUCCUCCCUCUGCCUGGGCGGAGCUUACCUGCGGGCUCCUGCCCUUGGCCCACGCACCUGUGGCUCAUCACGAGUGAUCCAGCUCUUUUAUAAGACGGCAGCCCUGUGUUUCUCGUCGCUGGACCGUUGCCGACCCUCGUCAGUGUAACCCCAGCUCAAUGACUUCAGAAGUGUUUCAUAGCGAUUUACCUAACUACCCAUUCGUGUCUCUGUGUACAGAUUCCCUGGACCUACCCCUGUGUUACCCGAGUGCGUGGAGUGUGAGGAGGAGUGGACGGAGAGUGUGCGUGUCUUUCCCGUUCGUGUGUGGACCCCCGGAGCCCGGCUUUCCCCUCACUUUUGUAAAUAAUCACCUGGUGCAUCAUAAUAAAGACUCUUGUGCUUUCAAGACCUAGAGCCUGCGCGUGAGUCCGUUCAGUCCCGUUGUGACACUUUUUUUUUUUUUUAACCGUUUGGUGGAACUGGCGAUAAAAGGAAAAAAGGAUUGUUUUCUGGAGAAAACAUUAACUCAACAAAAGUGACAACUGGACCAGCAGUUCGUUAACUCCAUCUGAGUAAAAUGGCACUAACUUGUACGAUACCUGCUAUAGACUCUGCACUAUGUGUUGAUCAGUAUAAUGACACUGAAAAGAAAAACUGGUGCAGACAGCUGCAUCUUGAAAGAGUGGAGUUGAACAAAAUGAAAAGUCUGGUAAUGGACAGAUGCAGGUUUAUCCAUAAUGAGGAUGGUUAAAACAGGCAAUAAAGAGGAUGUUUGUUGCAUCACAGACAUGAUAGGAUGUUUCACUAAUUCAUCUAGACACGGCAUGUUGUGGAGGGCAUAGCAGUUUGUCUUGAAACAACUUUAAUCUCGAAAUUUUGACUUGAUUCUCUUUUUUUGGGGGGGGGGGGGCCUUAAUACUCGGCCAUAGUACACUGUAAAUGGUUUUAGUAAAUUUAACAGUAUUUUUACAGGAAUAUGUAUGUAUAAGAUACUCUAAGAUGUUUUUACAUUAUUUUACUGCACAAAGCAAAGGAUUGUGGGAGAGUGUACAUUCACUGCUGUAAUUUGUCUGUACUGUAAAUUAUUUUGCAGCAGUGAUCCAACGCAGGAAAAACUGACCAAUAACAACAGAGAUUUCUUUCAAACUUCUUUAAAAAAAAAAAAAAAAAAAACGUUUGGUGGAACCAACAGUAAAAGGAAAAAAGGAUUAUUUUCUGGAGAAAACAUUAACUCAACAAAAGUGAAAACUGGACCAACACGUUUCUUAAGCACCAUAAGCCUUUAGCAGUUCAUUAAUGUCACUAACUUGCUCGAUACCUGCUAUAGACUCUGCACACAUGGAAGCCAAUCAGAGAUCGUACACUGUUAAACUUCCAACAUCUGAGUUUAUUAUUAGCUGUUGA